UGCGCGUCAUCUCCGUGGAGGCGUUUCGUGGAGGCACCGUGAGCGCACGCCGGUCGAAAAAGUAAUGGGAAAACAGUUUUUUUUCUUCUGUGGUCGACAUUAAAAUAUUUAUAAUUAAAUAUCGUCAUUAGUUGGUAGUUUCUUAUUGUUAUUACAUCGUCUGCGGUCUGUCGAUUUAAUAUUAUUUUAACGCCACGAAAAAACUGUGAAACCUAUUUAGAAGACAUUUUUGUUCCAUUAGUGAAAUGCGAAUGCCUAAAUCUAAAAAAAAUAGCCUAUGCAGCGUCGUAAAACGUCUAAAACUCAAAAAAAAUUUGGGUUUUCAAUUAUUCCAGUAUAUAGGACUACUAUAGGACAUACUACACACUUUAGGUACAAAAAAAACCAUACAAAAUAAAACCAAUGCAUUUAUCUUUCUACUCAGAAUCUACGACGAAGAAAAAAAUGUUUGAACGAUAAUGAAGAACAAGGGAAAAUUAGAAUUUUAAAACGAGAAAUAAUUGUUUUCGAAUUGUUAUAAAAAAAAGGCAUAGGUACAAUGCAAGAAUAAAAUAAAAUAUUGUUUUCAGAAUAUUCAACUGCACGUCGGCACUCUGAACAAAAUCAAAUGAAGAGUUCUGAUCGCAUGCUAACGACAUAAAAGUUUAUUCAUCGUCAUUCACUUUCUUCUAAAAACUCAGUUUAGUCAGACUUGAAACAAUUUGUAAUUUUAUUUAAUAUAACCGUUGUUAUUUUGCGUGUUGCAGUACAUUGGGUUGUAUUUAAUAAUAAUAAAACAUGUUUUUUUCUUCGUAUAAUAUUUAUAAAGAGUAGGUAACGCGGUCGAAACGAUUUUGGGGAUCUAAAAUCCUCGAAAAUAAGAGGUUUUCAAAGUUUAAGUAAUCCUCGUGACAUUGAUUCGUAGAGAGAUUGAUCCUGGAUUCGAGAGCGCAUUAAAGUAUCCAGGGGAGGAGAUUAAGCUCAUCGCCGUGCCGAACACCGCAUGCAACGCUCGGGACGUGUGCACCCCCCGACGUGUGCGCUAUCGCCAGAAUCAUUUGUUCUGACCUCCACAACGUACAUCCUACACGCCAGUCCGAUAAACAGCGGGUAGUACGUGACCUACAAAAACUACGGUAUUUCUCUACAUACACGCGGCUAUCAAACGAUUGAACUUGUUUUGGCCAUUUUACCUGUAAUUUAAUAGACUAUUUGCAUGCAAAAUUGUAAAACGGUCGUAGUACGUCGCAGUACACACUUUAAAACUGCUAUUGGAAACUGGAAAGUCGAUAUAUCUAUCA